rnacentral:rRNA from 1 species
UUCGGAUUGUAGUCUGCAACUCGACUACAUGAAGCUGGAAUCGCUAGUAAUCGCGAAUCAGCAUGUCGCGGUGAAUACGUUCCCGGGUCUUGUACACACCGCCCGUCACACCAUGGGAGUCGGUAAUGCCCGAAGUCAGUGACCCAACCGGAAGGAGGGAGCUGCCGAAGGCGGGACUGGUAACUGGGGUGAAGUCGUAACAAGGUACC